GGCACAGUGGUGUAGUAGUUUGAGUGUCAGACUACAGCUCUGGAGACCAGGGUUCAAUUCCCAGCUCGACCA